UACGUAGGGGGCUAGCGUUGUCCGGAAUCAUUGGGCGUAAAGAGCGUGUAGGCGGCCCGGUAAGUCCGCUGUAAAAGUCAAAGGCUCAACCUUUGAAUGUCAGUGGAUACUGCCGGGCUAGAGUCCGGAAGAGGCGAGUGGAACUCCUGGUGUAGCGGUGGAAUGCGCAGAUAUCAGGAGGAACACCAAUAGCGAAGGCAGCUCGCUGGGACGUUACUGACACUGAGGCUCGAAAGCGUGGGGAUCAAACAGG
rnacentral:rRNA from 1 species